rnacentral:misc_RNA from 1 species
AUAUAUCAACCUCUUCAAGCUUUUGCUUGUCGAGUGUUUGGAUUUGGGGUUGUGCUGGUCUUAUUUUCUGAAGGUCAGCUCCCCUGAAAUGUAUUAGCAGAACAAUUUGUUGACCGUUCAUUAAUGUGAUAACUAUCUACAUUAUUGAUGUGUGAGGCAGUAGUUCAGCUUCUUAACAGUCCAUUGACUUGGACAAAUUUUCAUUA